rnacentral:sRNA from 1 species
GGUCAGGAGGCUCUAAAACCUGAACUGGCCCUUAAGGUCGGUGCUUAGAGACGCAAACGCCCUUUUCUCCUUCCCACGAGCCGGUGGAGACUGCGAGGCGCCGAGAACCCGCCACCAGCCCAGGAGUUUACAUAUUUAUACAAAAAUGCGCACCCCUCACCCUCACUGCUUCCAACUCCUGCGGCCUCCUGUCCCUCCACACGUGUCCCUGUUCUCCCUGUAGCCCUCACCGGCUGGGGUCCAAUCAAAGGACGAAGUGGGGGUUGGGAGCUUGGUCUCCAACGUUAGAACCCAUCCAAAGGCUGUAGUUCCCUCCCUAGAGUGGGGGUAGGGAGGGUGUCAGACCUUAGUUUGGAGUCGGCGUCAGUGCCUGUGGGCCCUGGCGCAGCGGGGCUGUGAGGGGAGAGUCCCUCAGACAGGUCUAAAGGUUAAUAGAGCAAUCACAGGGCCCUAUUACCGCGUAAAAAUAACCCAUCGAUUACCGCAGCCUUCAGCUGCAGAUAACAGCUCUCUGGUGGCUCUCGCGUUUUCGGCUUAAGUUUUUUUUUUUUUCCUUUUCUUUUAAGGCCGCGUUUCUCUCCCCAGCACAGGUUUCCCAUACAAGAUUAGAGGGGUCAGGAGGGGGCUGGAAUACCACCCGGUAAGAACCCCGCGCUGCCUGAGAAGGCUCAGGCUGGCACCCGCUGUCGCAGUUCUAGGACUGACAACAGAUAGCAAUUGCCCCGCAUGCAAAAGCAACUCAGGCUCUAGGCACAGGCUGGGACUGGGAUGUGGAGCGGAUUGAAAGGGAAAACCCGUGGGACUUUGGCCAACGCGUGGGGAUCUCAGGAAAAUCCCAGAGGAAGGACUGAGCACGGAUGCGCUGAGUGGAGGUGGGGGAAAUUCUCUUUUCCAAAUCAAAGGGGCCUGAGGUCCAGAGAGGCUCUAGAGAAGGAGAGAAAACCGAGGCCGUCAGGGGUGCAGAGCUGCUGAAGGCCGGCGCUCUGGCUUGACCUACUGACGUAGCCCCGGGUGCCGCCAGUUUGAGCCCUUUAGCGCCCUGGAAGCUGGGGCCCCAAGACUAGAGUUCCUUCUCUAGGCCCCCACUCAUCCUAAACAGUUCCUGGUCAGAAUCAGGGGCUGCAGGUUCGAGGUCUGGUAAAGGUUUAGGGACGUUAUUCUGGGGGCUCCAGAGGCAUCAACGAACCCUCCUUUCCACCUCUCCUCGAGCAAACUCCUUUCUGAGACUCUCGGAUGAAUGCAGAGAAUGGCGUGGCCCUUGCUUUAUUUUACAAGACACCCUCAGCUACCUGGAAGGAUCCUGAGACUAAAGCCUAUCCCCAAGAUAGCAGAAACGAAACUGUAGGCUGAACACGACGUACAUAGGAAUUGGGACUUGAAGGAAUUGGGACCUGAAUUUCCUCGAAGGAAAAACAAAACAAACAACAGAUGUUGGAUUUCACACAGAGACCAAGAGAGAUCUUCCCUCCACCCCCAAGGAAUUGGGCACCAGCAAGUGCCCUCUGGGACCCAUGUGAUUCGGUUUAAAUGGUGAUCAACAUUGGUCACCACUGUGUCAUCGGUUGCCUCUCCGAAUUCAGCGGGAAUCAAUUCACAAGCAAAGCAGUGAGAGAGAAAUGAGGUCUGGAAAGAAUCUGGAGCUUGGACAGUUUCCAGUGUACGAUAAGGGAGACAAGAAAACACUACGAAGUCCACCUUGGUCCUAUCGAAAGUACACCCCAGGUACAGCUGUGCCGAUAGAACUACAAAGGAUCUGAGCUAGAUGUGUAAAGUGACCCGCACUGAACGAAUUUGGUCCCCUCUCCUAACAACGGAGCCUGACACCACAGACACCACGUUCCUUUCCUCAGUGACUAUCAACCCUCAUCUCGAGAUCACCCUGAUCAAAGCAAAAACAUUGGAAGAGAACACCUGGACGCACCUCAUCUUAUUCAAGAAAAAAUAAAGAAGCAAAGAACCUGUACGGCCAAGUCUGGGUACCCAACCCCUAUGCACUCUUCCCCCAGCCCUGAACCUUCAGCUCCUGGGAUUCCAGGCUGAAGAGGCACGGUUUUGAAUUCUUUGUAGACACCCUAGAUCUAGCCUGGUACCUGGAGUCAGAUCUUGAGGUUUCACUAUAAAAGGAAGUAGCCCUUUCUAGUUGUUUGGCGUUUAAAGAAUUGUUUGAUGUUGCAAAAAAGAAUAGCUGCAAAAAUGAAGCUGUGCUUUCCUCACAGACCUGGGAAAAUGCUUCCCAGUAUUUCCAGUCAGUAGACCAGUUGGUGGCAUAUUUCACAGUCACUUCUAAGUUACAGGUCACUCUCCUAUUUUUUUUUUUAAAUAAAACUUGCCAAAUUCCUAGAAGCCCCAAAA